ensembl:misc_RNA Metazoa_SRP Metazoan signal recognition particle RNA
GCUGGGUGUGGUGGCGCACGCCUGUAAUCUCAGGUACUCCAGAGGCUGAGGCAGGAGAAUCUCUCGAACCCAGGAGGCGGAGGUUGCAGUGAGCCGAGGUCACAGCACUGCACUCCAGCCUGGGUGACAGAGCAAGACUCUGUCUCAA